rnacentral:rRNA from 1 species
UGAUGACGAGACGCUAAGGCGUUGAAGCAGUGUAUGUCAGACUUCCAAGAAAAGCUCGCAAUGUCACAAAUAAAAAGUGCCUGUACCAUAACCGACACAGGUGGGUAGGUAGAGUAUACUAAGGGGCGCGAGAUAACUCUCUCUAAGGAACUCGGCAAAAUGACUCCGUAACUUCGGGAGAAGGAGUGCCUUAUUUAUAAGGUUGCAAUAACAAGAUCCAAGCAACUGUUUAUCAAAAACACAGGUCUCCGCUAAGUCGUAAGACGAUGUAUGGGGGCUGACGCCUGCCCAGUGCCAGAAGGUUAAAGAAGUUGGUUAGUGUAUGCGAAGCUGAUGACUGAAGCCCUGGUGAACGGCGGCCGUAACAAUAACGGUCCUAAGGUAGCGAAAUUCCUUGUCGGGUAAGUUCCGACCCGCACGAAAGGCGUAAUGAUUUGGAUACUGUCUCGGAGAGAGGCUCGGUGAAAUAGACUUGUCUGUGAAGAUGCGGACUACCUGCACCAGGACAGAAAGACCCUAUGAAGCUUUACUGUAACUUGAAAUUGGAAUUGGACUUUGCUUGCGCAGUAUAGGUGGGAAGCGUUGAAAAUAUUCUUGCGGGAGUAUUGGAGCUAUCAGUGAGAUACCACUCUUGUAAUGUUAGAUUUCUAACUUUGAACCAUAAUCUGGUCAAAGAACAGUUUCAGGUGGGCAGUUUGACUGGGGCGGUCGCCUCCCAAAUGGUAACGGAGGCGUACAAAGGUUUCCUCUGAACGGAUAGAAAUCGUAUCUAGAGUGUAAAGGCAUAAGGAAGCUUGACUGUGAGACCUACAAGUCGAGCAGGGACGAAAGUCGGUCUUAGUGAUCUGACGGUACUGAGUGGAAAGGCCGUCACUCAACGGAUAAAAGUUACUCUAAGGAUAACAGGCUGAUCUCCCCCAAGAGUUCACAUCGACGGGGAGGUUUGGCACCUCGAUGUCGGCUCAUCGCAUCCUGGGGCGGUAGUACGUCCCAAGGGUUGGGCUGUUCGCCCAUGAAAGCGGUACGCGAGCUGGGUCCAGAACGUCGUGAGACAGUUCGGUCCAUAUCCGGUGCAGGCGCUAGAAUAUUGAGAGGAGCCUUCUUUGGUACGAGAGGACCGAGAAGGACACACCGCUGGUGUACCAGUUAUCGUGCCAACGGUAAACGCUGGGUAGCUAUGUGUGGAGUGGAUAACCGCUGAAAGCAUCUAAGUGGGAAGCCCACCUCGAGAUGAGUAUUCC